UCCGGUUUGUCACCGGCAGUCUCCUUAGAGUUCCCGCCAUUACGCGCUGGCAACUAAGGACAAGGGUUGCGCUCGUUACGGGACUUAACCCAACAUCUCACGACACGAGCUGACGACAGCCAUGCAGCACCUGUCUCUAGGUUCCCGAAGGCACCCUCUCAUCUCUGAAAGGUUCCUAGGAUGUCAAGACCUGGUAAGGUUCUUCGCGUUGCAUCGAAUUAAACCACAUGCUCCACCGCUUGUGCGGGCCCCCGUCAAUUCAUUUGAGUUUUAACCUUGCGGCCGUACUCCCCAGGCGGUCGACUUAUCGCGUUAGCUGCGCCACUAAGUCCUCAAGGAACCCAACGGCUAGUCGACAUCGUUUACGGCGUGGACUAC
rnacentral:misc_RNA from 1 species